AGAGCGAACGCUGGCGGCAGGCCUAACACAUGCAAGUCGAGCGCCCGUAGCAAUACGGGAGCGGCAGACGGGAUAGUAACACGUGGGAACGCGCCCUUCGGUUCGGAAUAACUCAGGGAAACUUGAGCUAAUACCGAAUACGCCCUUACGGGGAAAGAUUUAUUGCCGAAGGAACGGCCCGCGUCCGAUUAGCUAGUUGGUGAGGUAAUGGCUCACCAAGGCUACGAUCGGUAGCUGGUCUGAGAGGAUGACCAGCAUCACUGGGACUGAGACACGGCCCAGACUCCUACGGGAGGCAGCAGUGGGGAAUAUUGGACAAUGGGCGCAAGCCUGAUCCAGCCAUGCCGCGUGGAUGAUGAAGGCCUUAGGGUUGUAAAGUCCUUUUAACGGGGAGUAUAAUGACGGUACCCGUAGAAUAAGCCCCGGCUAACGUUCGCGCCAGCAGCCGC
rnacentral:rRNA from 1 species